GACGGGUAGCCGGCCUGAGAGGGUGUCCGGCCACACUGGGACUGAGAUACGGCCCAGACUCCUACGGGAGGCAGCAGUGGGGAAUAUUGCACAAUGGGCGCAAGCCUGAUGCAGCGACGCCGCGUGGGGGAUGACGGCCUUCGGGUUGUAAACCUCUUUCACCAUCGACGAAGGUCCGGGUUCUCUCGGAUUGACGGUAGGUGGAGAAGAAGCACCGGCCAACUACGUGCCAGCAGCCGCGGUAAUACGUAGGGUGCGAGCGUUGUCCGGAAUUACUGGGCGUAAAGAGCUCGUAGGUGGUUUGUCGCGUUGUUCGUGAAAUCUCACGGCUUAACUGUGAGCGUGCGGGCGAUACGGGCAGACUAGAGUACUGCAGGGGAGACUGGAAUUCCUGGUGUAGCGGUGGAAUGCGCAGAUAUCAGGAGGAACACCGGUGGCGAAGGCGGGUCUCUGGGCAGUAACUGACGCUGAGGAGCGAAAGCGUGGGGAGCGAACAGGAUUAGAUACCCUGGUAGUCCACGCCGUAAACGGUGGGUACUAGGUGUGGGUUUCCUUCCUUGGGAUCCGUGCCGUAGCUAACGCAUUAAGUACCCC
rnacentral:rRNA from 1 species